GACUUCGUAGCUCAGCAGGUCAGAGCACCACACUUUUAAUGCGGGGGUCCUGGGUCCGAGUCCCAGCGGAGUCA
rnacentral:tRNA from 1 species